ensembl:lncRNA LINC00635 long intergenic non-protein coding RNA 635
ACUCUCACGAGAACAGCAUGUGGGAAACCAGGGAAACUGUCCCCAUGAUCCAGUGACCUCCCACCAGGUCCCUCCCUUGACACAACAGAGAUUACAAUUUGAGAUGAGAUUUGGAUGGAGACACAGAGCCAAACCAUAUUAAGCCUGUUCUGCUGGGACACAGAAUCACUUGCUCCAUCUCAUACAUUGAUGAUGAUUAAUUUGUAUGUGUACCUUCCAAAAAAGAUGGUUGUGUUUGAAUGGAGGCCUUCUGGACAGGAAAAUUGCAAAGUACAAUUAACAUUUGAGUCUGUCUGAGUCAUGAAGAAAUGGAGAUUACUGAAAAUAAUUCAUUUUGGUAUCUUCUUACAUCCUGAGAGACUAAUCUUUCCAAGUUCAUCUGAGGCUCCUCUUCUCCAUGACAACCUCAUCCAGGGAUUUCUUCCUGUCCUGGUGUUUUAUGACAUGUGGAAGGGGACUGUAGCAGGUGAUCUCCAAAGUCUCUGGAGACUUACUAAUGUGCAUCCUCAUCUCGCUUGUAAGGAUAAUAGCCUUCCUCCAAACCUCACACACUUUUGGAGGAGAUCACUUUUUUUAAAGUGCAUGGAAAUGUUUUGAAACAGUGAAAUCUAUAAUGAUAGGUUUCAUAAUUCUAACAUCCACACCAUAUGAAUCACAUCCUUCCUGAGAUAAUGAGCACACAAUUGCCUGGAUACCUGAAGGAAUGGAGACAGCGGCAGAAAACACUGCAGAGAGGUGGAAACAUCCGUUAAUAUUUUAAAAUCCCAUUACUGCUACCAACAAUAAUAAUGGAUGCAUAGAAAUAGAUCUGGAUUAGCUGAGCUUGAAACAGUCCAUCUCACACACACACAAAAGAAUUUCAGAUACAGUGAACCCACAUGUUGAAGCUUUCUAGUAUAAUAAAAAUUUCAACUGUUCUGUUGAAUCAUCUGCCUGAUUGGAGGCUACAGAAAAGAUGUCAUCUUAGGAGUGCUUGCUCUGAGUGAGGCUCAUCUUCAAAUCUGAAUGACCACAAGGAGAUUUGAUUAUACAUGUGAACACCUCAGAAGGCACAGCCCACCCAGAAGGCAGACAGGUCAGGCUGCUUUUUCUUCAUUGCUUGGAUUCAAUCCUCCGGGCGGCUCAGGCUCAAACAUAACUUAAGCAUGAUUAAACUUUAGAAGAAGCUGCCAGGAAGACUGUGAAAUCUUCAUGCCCAAGGAUCCCUAAAAUUAGGAGCAACAACCACUUGGCUCAGACGGUUUAUGGAGGCAAAGGUUUGGAUGGGAUUAGAGAUUUCUAAAUGUGAGUUCGUGUCCUCUGCCAGACCACCUUACUUCCACCAUUCCUCAGCAAAUCAAGAAAAACAGGAGAAAAGACAUGCCUUUCCAUAAGUUAAAUCUAUUCUGUUUUAAUUCUAUAUUAUAUCUGCUGUACAACUUCUUUUGUUUGUAACACCAUAUUGUUGCUAGUAACUGGAAAUUAAUUUUCACAUGCCUCAGCUUAGAAAAAUAAAAAGCAGCCCUGCAUCAAUCCC